rnacentral:rRNA from 1 species
CAGUAGCCGCGGUAAAACGUAGGGGGCAAGCGUUAUCCGGAAUUACUGGGUGUAAAGGGAGCGUAGACGGUUAAACAAGUCUGAAGUGAAAUGCCGGGGCUCAACCCCGGAGCUGCUUUGGGAACUGUAGAACUGGAGUGUCGGAGGGGUAAGCGGAAUUCCCAGUGUAGCGGUGAAAUGCGUAGAUAUUGGGAGGAACACCGGCGGCGAAGGCGGCUUACUGGACGACAACUGACGUUGAGGCUCGAAGGCGUGGGUAGCAGACUGGAUUAGAUACCCCGGUAGUCCCUGUCUCUUAUAC